rnacentral:misc_RNA from 1 species
AACCAUUCUCACCUGCGGCUAGACCUGCGGAAGGAUCAUUAUUGAUUUUUAACAGGAUGUGCUGGCUCUUCUGGAGCAUGUGCACUCCUAACAAAAACCAAUAUCCACCUGUGCACUUUUAGUAGGCAGGAAAAAAGACCUUUUUACCCAAGGGCUCUUUUCCUUGUCUACGUUUUCUAUCACAGACACUUGAUCUAUUUGAAUGCUUAUACAACAAAAUAAUAUUUGUAAAACAACUUU